ensembl:snRNA U1 U1 spliceosomal RNA
AUAUUUACCUGACAGGGGAGAUACAAUGAUCCCGAAGGGAGUUUUUCCAAAGUGGGGCUCGUCCAUUGCACUCCGGUUGUGCUGACCUCUGCGAUCUCCCUGAAUGUGGGAAACACGGCUGCAUGGUUUGUGGUAGUGGGGAACUCUCCCCC